GAACAUCUCUGAAUCGGUAAAGCGUGAGACUCUUAAUCUUAGGGUUGUGGGUUUGAGCCCCAUGUUGGGCA